AUGAACCAACGGAUCCCAACGGAUAAGCUGUCCCAUACAAUAAAAAACACCAUUUCCAAGAAGAAACAUGGCAAAGAUCUUCAGAAAUCAGGUUUACACACCCAUAUAUUUGUAUUUGAGCAARAUCUAAUUGAUAAUAUUGUGACUUUUUAUCAAAUAUAUGCUUGAAAAAUGUUUUUAAUAUGAUCUUUUUUUAUUUUUCCUGGUAUUUUGUGAGUGAGCUCAAAGACAGUUGGAAGUGCAAUCACUGUAAAAUAUCAAAGCAGACUAACAUGAUUGAAUGUGAAACUUGUGGAGAAUGGGGCUGUGCAGGAAUAAAGAAUGAACCUGAGUCAUGGCAUUGUACAAGUUGUGCAGAGUAUCAAAAACAAAAUUUAAGGACUUUUCAAGGCCUUUUUCCAGGACCAAAAUUGUAUUUUCAAGGAGCAUCAAAAUCAUGCUAAUUGUAGAUUCUUACCUCAAAUCUUCAGCUGAACGGAAUAAUUCAGAGAUCGCUAGCGCUUCGUGAUAGAGAUCCAUCUUUUUCAAGGAGUUUUCAAGGACUAUUUCGAAAUUUUCAAAUUUUCAAGGAGUUUCAAGUGCCCUUGAAAAUGAGUUUUCAAUUUAAGCACUUUUCAAGGAUUUAAGGACCUGCACGACCCUGGUCUUAAGAAACGAGACAAGGUGUCACCAAAGGAAGUGGAUGAAAGCAGUAUUAAUAGCAAAAACAAAUAAGAUCAACAUAAUAUCAAAUAGGGACACUGGAAGAACUCCGCCCGAUAGCUACAUCCAAUUACUUAAAACCAUUUAAUUUGUGACAUUUGCCCUAAUAAUAUUUUUUAUUCACUAUCUUUCAWUUGUAAAYAGAGCGCGCGCGUAAUGUACAGUUUCCUCAAGCGCUUUGAGUUAGCUGCGUAGAUUAGAUCAUCACGUGUACUACAACCUUGAAAAUGGCUGCAUAGGCCGAACGCUUGGUUAAAAUAAAUCAAUUUUGCACAGAA